UUUGAUUUCAAAAAGAGCCGGGGCAGUGAUGGAUGCUGUAGGAAACCCUCAGAAUGGGUCAAGAUCAUUGCAAUGCUGCAAGGCCUGCUGAGAAACCAUGUGCACAAGAACCCAAGCCCAGAUUCACCACUUGAUUUCUGCAGGAGGCAGUGGACAUGUAAAAAGUGCACUGACUAAAGCCUUAAAUGCAUAGAUCUUGGCUACGCUCCGGAUCUCCUUGAGCCCAGACUUGUUGAAAUCUGCCUUCAAGACAUCUAGGCACCGUCUAAGGAUCCCACCAUCCCAUCUUAAACUGCGAUACAUUUCAGAUCCCUGAACUCAGAGUUGCUUGCUACACCCUGAUGAUGCAUCAAGAAUUUCAGUCUGUACAGGCCAUGUUAUAUCUUCCUCCUGAAAAAAAUCCACCAACUUUGUGGCUUCCGUUGAUUACGUUUUGCCUAGAGUUCCCCUUAGGGGAAAAAUUUAUAUUCUACUGGCAAAUGCAACUUAAAAGCCAUUUAGCUAAAUGGAAGGAUCUCUAAUGCAGAUUUGUUGGACGGGCGCUUCCUCUGGGAUAUCCUAUCGCAUACACAAAAUGUAACCAGAUAUAACUAAACAAAUUCAAUCAUGCAACAGAAACUGGAUUGUUUGCUUAAAAUUGCAGCAUUAGUCUAGCCAACAGAGGUCAGUGCAAACUAAAUAAAAGGUCUUUCAACGCAGCUUUCCCCUGUACAACCAGUCACAGCCCUGGAGAGAGACUGAAUGAACUAGUGGCUGUUAAAACUUCCUUGCUCCUUUCCCCUACCAGGUGCUUCAUCCCUGACCAAGAGAGAGCACCUCAGGGAGUGAGAUGGAAAUUAACUUGUUCUUUGGCCUCUUUGCUGAGCCUUAUUGGCCUUCCCACCACUUGGCAAAUAUCCAUCAUCAGCACCAGCUCAAUAAUGCUCCACUCCAUUCCUGUGCCGCAGGACCACUCAGCCGGGGAAAUGGCUUCUUCCUCAGACAUUCUCUUUGGCUUGGUUACACGGGGAAUGGAUAGUGAUCGCUUUGUCCUUGUGAGAUGCAUGACUCGCGGAUAGGAGCAGGAGCUCACUAGAUCUUCCAUACAAUCCGCCCCCCCUCAUCUUUCCACCACUCUCCUCAUAGCACAGCUGAACAUACCUGCUCUCUGUACUGCAUUCUUCAAAUCGGAGACGUCCAGGAAUCCAGAACCGGUUCCCUCUACCCUCCUGAAAAUGUCCUGGAAACCAUUUUGAAAGAAUUCAGCUUCUUACUUUUAAGCCAACGUCAGUGGCCCAAACUUGUGCUAUGACCUAGCAUGUUGGCCACUCGCCAAUGCAUUUCACUUUCUCCUUAAUGAAUUAGCUUAGUGGAAACUCAGUGCAACAUCUGAUAGGGGGACUAGAAUAAGACAGACAACUUUUCCAGAAAGAACAGCUGGGUGAUCCUUGCUCCUGGACUGAGGGGGCUUACUGAUGGGGGCAGUGAGGGAUUGAUGUUAUGCUCCUUCAGAGCAUUGGCCUGGCCUAGUGCACUGAGACAAGGGGAGAAAGAAGACAGAGGGGAGCACUGAUCACCUUGGGAUAUCCCCCUGCCAACGACGGCAUUGUUGUGGAACUGCAGGGUAAACAUGUCUGAAUGGUUAUAGAGUUGUGACCUUUUGUGUAUAUCCCCUGCACUGUUUUACUUGUUCAGACCAAAGCUUGUAUCUCCAUGACUGUACCAACACAAAGAGCCCAUCAAUAAUGACUCAACUGAAAGAAUAGUUGCAGAACUAAUUUCUGUGGCACUAGGUGAGGUGACAUCCUUCUAUAGACUCCAUAUUCUAAAUACAAUAGGCUAUGUACUCAGCUCUGUUGACUUGAAUAGAGCUAUGCCCACUUAUACAACAGAUGAGGAUCUGGCCCAGUAGGUUUAGCUUGGCCAAAAACCAUCCUGUGAGAUACUAACCACACCAAAUGGUGGUAGGCUAUAAAUAGCAAGCAUGGAGAACAGUUGUUCAGGAUAGCCCAAACAGAUCUAACAGGUGAAACCAAGGAACAUUGACUGUACCAGAAUGUCUUUCCUAAUUCUGGGGUCCCUUUCUCUGUCCUAGAGUCUCUUACAGGAAGUGGGGGAGGGGGAGAAGGAGCCCUGUUACCUUUUCUAAACGAUGCAAAUACGGUAACGGACAAGCAAAGUCUGUAUUGGCCGGGGAGCAUGGCCUUUCCAUGGAUUGUAUUAUCCUGUGCAAUGUGCCUGGCUGCCAUGAAAUAGGGCAAUAGCCUUUCACAGAAACAGGGUGGAUAAUAGGACGACAAAUAGGUAAUCCAGUCUAAGUGCUUGUACUCUCCAGGGAUACUCACCAUCUUGCUACUGCAUAUGAGCAACCACAGUCCCAUUGACCUGUGGGAUUAUUCCUGUGUAUGUACGUGCAGGACUGGGACCUAACAGCUUCUCUAACCUACUCCUCAGGAUCUGCCGUAAGGGCAGAGCACUUAAUCCUUGCCAGAGCUGUUCUUACCAGUCAGAACAUUUGACGGGGGCCUCUCAAUCCAAUAUUUGAGCUCCCUACUUUUGAAUGAUAAGCCAGGUGCUUUAUCUACUAAGCGUCAGCGCCUUUGUUGCGGUCUUUCCACCCCACACUAUUUUAAUUUCAUAGUGUCUGCAUCCCCUUGAUUAAAAAUGCAGCACUAGCUGAGAAAAUGGGUCCCUGACAGCUCACAUGUACCUUGUACUUAGCAAGGAGUUUCCAGAGGUGCUUAAAUUCUUGCAGGGAGAGUCUUCCAUUAGACUUGAGCUGCAUGUGUGGUUAAGGCUUAAAUGUUUAGUGGCCGCUAAUCUUGGGUUUCCUAGGGGCAGGAUGCCAUUUAGGCCAGGGCUUGCCUCACCGAAAAGUAGAUGCAGGAAGGCCCCCCCCCUCACGCACACCAUGGGCCCUGAUAAAGGUAUCCUGCGGCCAUGAAGGUUGGAAUGUCAGGCUUUAAGCUGGGGAAGGCUAAGGUUUUCCUUCCUCCGCGCAGGGGUGGGAGGAGCUAUAGACUGCACAAAAUAAAUGUGACAAACUAAAUCUAACUGAGGGCCAUUAAGCAGCAAGGUUAUAUAGUGCCUUUCGCAGCAAGGGAUCAUGAGGCUAUAACUCCAGUGUA